rnacentral:rRNA from 1 species
UGGGGAAUAUUGGACAAUGGGGGCAACCCUGAUCCAGCGACGCCGCGUGAGUGAAGAAGGUCUUAGGACUGUAAAGCUCUUUUGUUAGGGAAAAUAAUGAUGGUACCUAACGAAUAAGCUCCGGCUAACUUCGUGCCAGCAGCCGCGGUAAUACGAAGGGGGCUAGCGUUGUUCGGAAUAACUGGGCGUAAAGGGCGUGUAGGCGGUUUUGUUUGUCUGAUGUGAAAUCCAAGGGCUCAACCUUUGAAUUGCAUUGGAAACGGCAAAGCUAGAAUUCGAGAGGGGUACUUGGAAUUGCUUGUGUAGAGGUGAAAUUCGUAGAUAUAAGCAAGAACACUCGAGGCGAAGGCAGAGUACUGGCUCGAUAUUGACGCUGAGGCGCGAAAGCGUGGGGAGCAAACAGG